AUUGAACGCUGGCGGCAGGCCUAACACAUGCAAGUCGAACGGUAACAGAAAGCAGCUUGCUGCUUUGCUGACGAGUGGCGGACGGGUGAGUAAUGUCUGUGAAACUGCCUGAUGGAGGGGGAUAACUACUGGAAACGGUAGCUAAUACCGCAUAACGUCGCAAGACCAAAGAGGGGGACCUUCGGGCCUCUUGCCAUCGGAUGUUCCCAGAUGGGAUUAGCUAGUAGGUGGGGUAACGGCUCACCUAGGCGACGAUCCCUAGCUGGUCUGAGAGGAUGACCAGCCACACUGGAACUGAGACACGGUCCAGACUCCUACGGGAGGCAGCAGUGGGGAAUAUUGCGCAAUGGGCGCAAGCCUGAUGCAGCCAUGCCGCGUGUAUGAAGAAGGCCUUCGGGUUGUAAAGUACUUUCAGCGGGGAGGAAGGGAGUAAAGUUAAUACCUGUGCUCAUUGACGUUACCCGCAGAAGAAGCACCGGCUAACUCCGUG
rnacentral:rRNA from 1 species